rfam:Ixodes scapularis strain Wikel colony gcontig_1107729208826, whole genome shotgun sequence.
CCCUGGUUAGCUCAGUUGGUAGAGCGCUCCACUUGUAAUGGAGAGGUCCCGGGUUCGAUACCCGGACCAGGUG